AUGAGUGAAAUACAGAGAUGUUAAAGGUUUUGAAUGGAAGGGUGGUAGGAGCUGAGUUAAGUUUUAACAGGAUCACCCCGAAAUGUGUUACUAGAAUGUGGGGGAGGGGCGGGGCGAAGACAGCAGUUAGAAGAACAAUUCGGAGGUCAUACAAUAUCCGAGAGAGAGAUGGUGAUAACCGGCACCAGAAAGGAACCUCUGGAGGAGGUUAAAAAGUGAGGGGAAAAUGUGAUUCUCAAGACAGUCACCUCAAGAUUUGUAGAUACCUUCCUGGAAUAAAAAUCACUUGAUAAGUUUGUAAUAAUUCAAACACAUAAUCUCUACAGAAAAUAUUCAUCUAAAAGUAGUCACCACUUGUUGCUUAAUAUUGGUCAUAAAGGCCAAAGAAGAACCUGACUUAUGAAAGCCAUCUCAAAUUAGGAAUUGUCACUCUGCUCCCUGAAAUGUUACUUAUUUAUUCAUUUCCACGUGAGGGAACCAUGUGGGUCAUGACUGGCAGAUCUUCACAGAUAUUAAGUUAAUAAGUUUAGAGCUUAGCAAAGCACUAAGAAUUUUCCGCACUGUUCUUAUUAUGGUGUCUCUAAAAUAAAUCCUUAAUGGGCUACCCGAACCACCAUAAAUACCCUUGUAAUCUCCCCUCUGCUUUUUGAUUUGAUGACAAAAAAGUAAGAUGUGUGUGUAAUGACAAUUAUUAUUAAACACAUGCAAACAUGUA